rnacentral:rRNA from 1 species
UACGUAGGGUGCGAGCGUUGUCCGGAAUUAUUGGGCGUAAAGGGCUCGUAGGCGGUCGUGUCGCGUCGGGAGUGAAAACUCAGGGCUUAACCCUGAGCCUGCUUCCGAUACGGGCAGACUAGAGGUAUGCAGGGGAGGAACGAAUUCCUGGUGUAGCGGUGAAAUGCGCAGAGUAUCAGGAGGAACACCGGUGGCGAAGGCGGUCUCUGGGCAUUACCUGACGCUGAGGAGCGAAAGUGUGGGGAGCGAACAGG